rnacentral:rRNA from 1 species
GAUGAACGCUGGCGGCGUGCCUAAUACAUGCAAGUCGAGCGAACAGACGAGGAGCUUGCUCCUCUGACGUUAGCGGCGGACGGGUGAGUAACACGUGGAUAACCUACCUAUAAGACUGGGAUAACUUCGGGAAACCGGAGCUCAUACCGGAUAAUAUAUUGAACCGCAUGGUUCAAUAGUGAAAGACGGCUUUGCUGUCACUUAUAGAUGGAUCCGCGCCGCAUUAGCUAGUUGGUAAGGUAACGGCUUACCAAGGCAACGAUGCGUAGCCGACCUGAGAGGGUGAUCGGCCACACUGGAACUGAGACACGGUCCAGACUCCUACGGGAGGCAGCAGUAGGGAAUCUUCCGCAAUGGGCGAAAGCUUGACGGAGCAACGCCGCGUGAGUGAUGAAGGUCUUCGGAUCGUAAAACUCUUUUAUUAGGGAAGAACAAAUGUGUAAGUAACUAUGCACGUCUUGACGGUACCUAAUCAGAAAGCCACGGCUAACUACGUG